UUUCUACCUAGCUGAUGAGCAAAAGGUGUUUAUCAGCCUUAAGGCAAUCUUUUUGGAAAAGGAGUUUCUUAGUGAAGGGAUUGUUGCCUCUAAGAUCAAACUUGAGAAAGUUCGAUAGGUGGAUAAACCGACACAAGUUGCUGAACCUAAACCAAAUUUGGUUAGAUCAGAUCCGAAGCCCAUUGUUCCUACACCCUUAAGGCGGUCUGG
rnacentral:lncRNA from 1 species